rnacentral:rRNA from 1 species
GAUGAACGCUGGCGGCGUGCCUAAUACAUGCAAGUCGAGCGAACAGACGAGGAGCUUGCUCCUCUGACGUUAGCGGCGGACGGGUGAGUAACACGUGGAUAACCUACCUAUAAGACUGGGAUAACUUCGGGAAACCGGAGCUAAUACCGGAUAAUAUAUUGAACCGCAUGGUUCAAUAGUGAAAGACGGUUUUGCUGUCACUUAUAGAUGGAUCCGCGCCGCAUUAGCUAGUUGGUAAGGUAACGGCUUACCAAGGCGACGAUGCGUAGCCGACCUGAGAGGGGGAUCGGCCACACGGAAACUGAGACACGGCCAAGACCCUAAGGGAGGGAGGCGGUGGGGAAUCUCCGGCAAUGGGCGAAAGCCUGACGGGGAAAGGCGGCGUGGGUAUUAAAGGUCUUCGAAUGGAAAACCUCGGUUAUUGGGGAAAAACAAAGUGUUAGGUACCUAGCACCGUUUUAAGGGUACUUAUCAGGAAGGCAAGGCCUAACACGGG